rnacentral:rRNA from 1 species
UACGAAGGUGGCAAGCGUUGUUCGGAUUCACUGGGCGUACAGGGAGCGUAGGCGGUUGGGUAAGCCCUCCGUGAAAUCUCCAGGCUUAACCUGGAAAGUGCAGAGGGGACUGCUCAGCUAGAGGAUGGGAGAGGAGAGCGGAAUUCCCAGUGUAGAGGUGAAAUUCGUAGAUAUUGGGAAGAACACCGGUGGCGAAGGCGGCUCUCUGGCCUUUAACUGACGCUGAGGCACGAAAGCGUGGGGAGCAAACAGG